UACGUAGGGGGCAAGCGUUGUCCGGAAUUAUUGGGCGUAAAGGGCGUGUAGGCGGUUAUGAAAGUCAGAUGUGAAAGGCUACGGCUCAACCGUAGAGCUGCAUCUGAAACUGUAUAACUUGAGUGCAGGAGAGGAAAGUGGAAUUCCCGGUGUAGCGGUGGAAUGCGUAGAGAUCGGGAGGAACACCAGUGGCGAAGGCGGCUUUCUGGCCUGCAACUGACGCUGAGGCGCGAAAGCGUGGGGAGCAAACAGG
rnacentral:rRNA from 1 species